rnacentral:sRNA from 1 species
GACAUUGAUCUUAUGGGCCUUAAGGGCCA